rnacentral:misc_RNA from 1 species
UACCGCCGUGUACGUGAUCCGUAUGCACGGUGGUGUGGGAUAAGGGGCGCUUUGAGGCGCCUCGCUAUCCUGAU